CAGUGUGGAUGAUGAGAACAUGAAAAAAAUUACAGUUAUCCCUGUCUGACAAGUUUACAUGGAUGCUGACAAUGUUCGAUCUGACACAUCU